rnacentral:rRNA from 1 species
UACAGAGGGUGCAAGCGUUAAUCGGAAUUACUGGGCGUAAAGCGUGCGUAGUCGGUUAUUUAAGUCGGGUGUGAAAGCCCCGGGCUCAACCUGGGAAUUGCAUUCGAUACUGGAUAGCUAGAGUUCGGCAGAGGGAAGCGGAAUUUCCGGUGUAGCGGUGAAAUGCGUAGAUAUCGGGAGGAACACCUAUGGCGAAGGCAGCUCGCUGGGACGUUACUGACGCUGAGACGCGAAAGCGUGGGGAGCAAACAGG